AUUGAACGCUGGCGGCAGGCCUAACACAUGCAAGUCGAGCGAGCGGCGGACGGGUGAGUAAUGUCUGGGAAACUGCCUGAUGGAGGGGGAUAACUACUGGAAACGGUAGCUAAUACCGCAUACCAUCAGAUUUGCCCAGAUGUGAUUAGCUGGUAGGUGGGGUAACGGCUCACCUAGGCGACGAUCCAUAGCUGUUCGAAGAGGAUGACCAACAACACUGGAACUGCGAAGCGGUCCAGACUCCGAAGGGAGGCAGCAGUGGGGAAUAUUGGACAAUGGGCGCAAGCCUGAUGCAGCCAUGCCGCGUGUGUUAAGAAGGCCUUCGGGUUGUAAAGCACUUGCAGCGGGGAGGCGUUACCCGCAGAAGAAGCACCGGCUAACUCCGUGCCAGCAGCCGCGGUAAUAC
rnacentral:rRNA from 1 species